rnacentral:tRNA from 1 species
GCCGGCGUAGCUCAGCUGGUAGAGCAACUGAUUUGUAAUCAGUAGGUCGCCAGUUCAACUCUGGCCGCCGGCU